rnacentral:tmRNA from 1 species
GGGGGCGUAAUGGUUUCGACGGGGGUAUUGAAACAAAGCAAGCGAGCAGCGGUGCGGGACCGCUCUAAACCUCCGCAAACGCAUGAUAAAUGCAAAAGAUAAUGUUAUUCGUGUCAACUUCGGUAAAUCUGAAGAGGCACUUGCCGCUUAACUAAGCGACACGUUCUGCCCGGGAGGACCACGACCUGGGAUUUGAACGUCAUUUAGUGGUGAACGUAUCUGUGAGUUGCCCUUGUAACAGGUAGGUUUUAAAGGGUUGCCAAUGCUUUCAGCCUGAUGAUUGGCGGUUUGCUGCGGGACUUUUAAAGAAUCAUCUGCGCUCGGAGAAAACUUCGCGAAUAUACCUUCGGACACGGGUUCAACUCCCGUCGCCUCCACCA